AGCACUAAUGAUGUAAAGGAUGAUCAGAGUUGAUGUGCAGAUAAAUGAUGUGUGUUUCCUCUGCAGGUGAAGCUAGAAAGUGUGUGUGAGCUGAUGUGAAUUCAGCAGCAUGGAUCAGUGUGAGGACAGACAGGAGGGAGUCCCUCCCUCUAAAACCACUCAGUGUGGGGAAGAUGAGAGCCAGAGCAAAGGUCAGAGGAUCCAUCAGAGACUCAGACCAGAACCAGAACCAGAACCAGAACCAGAACCCAGCUGUGUGUCCUUUAAGAGCAACAGGUCAAAGGGUCGUCUCAUUGACUUUAAAUCUCCUGGAUCUCCACCAUCAGAGAGGAUUGAUCAGAGA